rnacentral:lncRNA from 1 species
AUUGUUGCUUACCCAGUUGAAGAAGUUUGUUGCUUCUGAGAAGCUGGUGAAAGUUAAGAACUCUUACAAGCUUCCAUCAGGUUCUAAGCCUGCUGCUGCUGCUGUCCCGGCGAAGAAGAAGCCUGCUGCAGCAAAGUCAAAGCCUGCUGCGAAACCAAAAGCCGCCGUCAAGCCCAAGGCAAAGCCCGCUGCCAAGGCAAAACCCGCUGCCAAGGCAAAGCCCGCUGCCAAGGCAAAGCCCGCUGCCAAGGCCAAGCCCGCUGCCAAGGCCAAGCCUGCUGCCAAGGCAAAGCCCGUUGCUAAGGCUAAGCCCAAAGCAGCGGCUGCUGCCAAGCCCAAAGCUGCUGUUAAACCUAAGGCUGCUCCUGCCAAAACCAAGGCUGCGGUCAAGCCAAAUCUGAAGGCUAAGACGACGACAGCUAAGGUUGCAAAAACCGCUACGAGAACGACUCCAAGUCGGAAAGCUGCACCAAAGGCAACACCUGCCAAAAAGGAGCCGGUUAAGAAGGCACCUGCGAAGAAUGUGAAGUCUCCGGCGAAGAAGGCUACCCCAAAGAGGGGAAGGAAGUAGAAACACAGGAAUAGAGGAUUUGUGUGUAGGGAUAGUCCUGUAAAUUCCCUGAAUCUUUGGUUGAUUGGGUGUUUUGCCCAUGGGAAGCUAUAGAAAUCUGGUUUAUUUUCUCUUUUCUUAGCCUUGUCCUACAGUGUUUAGAUUUUUUUUUUCUCUUUUUAAUUCCGUUUAGGGAUAUGGAACAGUUCUUCUCUGUACUGAUAUAUCACUCUGCUUAUGAGAAUUAGAGUAUGAUGCCCUUACCUUAUAAAUGUCCAUUUCUAUUCAGCCAAUUUUGUUCUGUUUCUUAUUUCAUAUGAAUUGCAGUAUGAUAUUAGGUAGUUUUUUCCUCUGAGAAACGGGUAUAGCUGUAUAAAAGUUUGGUUGGGGAAGCGUGAAAAGCAGAUGCCGGAAUGUAGAAGAAGCGUCUUUUGAACGCAAGUAAGUUUAACAAAUUAACAACUCUUCUAUGAAUGGAGUACAGAACACUCUUAUGGUCAUCAUCUUUGCUUAAAUUGGAUUAGUUUUAGUUGAAGUUUUGUAUUAUUCUGUAUCCUUGCUGUUGCGCAUUGUUACCUACUUCAUAUCUGGAUCACUUUGUAUUGCUAAAUAUUUGGUGGUGUGUAGUAGUGUUCACGUGAAGCCAUGUUGGUUUAUUUGUAUAUUAAACAUUUGUUUGUGCAUUAUUGAGGUGAACAUUCAUUUAAUAAUCCACCAUUUUCAUGCCAAAAAGAUUCUAUUUCUAUGCUUAUGGGCUAUGGCUAAUCUAGAUUGAGGCAAAAUAGUUAAAAUGUUAAAUUUACCCAAAAGAGGUAAGGGUGCAAUUACACUCUGCUUUCUGGGAAAGAUAUCCUGCAAAAUUUUUCAACUCAUGAAAACUACAAGCAUAACAAAUAGUGAAUGUCUUUUGCUUGCAACUACACUCUGUUUUCUGGGAGUCUUUGCCUAAAGCUUAGGUUAAUUUAUGACUAGUGACUAGUCUUUGUAAAAUGGUGAAUGUCUUUGGCUAGCUGCAGAUGAUUAUCAUGAUUAAGUAGCUAAUUGUUCGAGAAUCCUUGAAAUCAGCUCUGUCUUUAUGAAGUGCUAGGAAUUCACUUGUAGAUAGAAGUAGUGACAGUAUAUUGAAACUGAACAUGAUAUUUGGAUAUUUACUUUCAAAUGCUUUCUACCUAGCUUGGAUAGUAGUGACGAUUAGUGCCAUGCUCUAGUGAAGAUGAAGAUACUAAUCCUUCUCAUCAGUGAAGCAUGCAUAGAAAUGGUAGUGGCAAUUAGUGCCAUGCUCUAGUGAAGAUGAAAUUACUCAUCCUUCUCAUUAGUGAAGCAAGCAUAGAGAUUAUGUGAAACAAUUGAGCAAGGUUAAGGUGCAUUCAUUGUGUUUAUACCUAGUGAUGAGUAGUAAACUGAAGCUUUUGCUUAAAAAACUUACUUCCUAGAACUAUGUUACAGUUGUCCUGUAUACUACUAGGAUUUCCAUUCCAAAUGUAUCUUGUUUCAAUCCUUUUCUCUUUUGGUAUCUCUUCUAAUAAUUUUUUAUGGUAGAAUGUACAUUAAUUGAAGUUAGAGAAGACACAGUCUGAUGUGAAGAUUUCUGUAAUAGUAACAUUUUUGUGAAGAUUUUGUCAUGUAAUUCUCCUUCUAUUUGUUAUUGACUUGGCUAGGUAUGUAGUUAAGGAAACAGUAUUUCUUGGCGCUCAUAGAUGAUGCAGAUGUAUGGAUGGAUCACCAUGUUGAUAUUAUCUAUUUUACCUAGUUGUUUUAUUUAUGGUUGGAGAAUAGCUUAUAUUACCUUUAAUAUACAUUUUAUACGGCAAGUCAAAUUUGUGUUGCAUGAAAUUCGCUUACCAUUAACUGCGGAACUUAAUGUAUUAAGCGAUCUUGUUUAAUAGCAUUAAACAGGUCUCAAAUCAAUGCACUUACUAUGUCUAGUUUAAGUGCUAAAUAGAUUAUCAAGCAAUCUCUUAGUAGAGUAGUUGCUAUAGCCAAUCACUUACAACAACAUUGCCAUAAUAAACAAUUAUUCUUGCUUCCAGCUGAAGCAUCACUUUUUACAUUUGUUGAGGGUAUAGAUAAAGUAAGUUGCUCGCAAAGAGGGAGUUCGCUGGCUGAUACCAAUAGAUAGAGCUACUAGUAAGAUAAUCAAAGGCGGUUGAGAGGCUCUUUUAGUGCUUCGUUCAAUGUCAGCAUGUUUUAGGUAUUGUUUUAUUGAAGCUUAAAUAUAGCAACUCAAUGUAUCCACAUAUAUCCCAACCGAUGUUUUUUUUUAUGAUAAGGGAAACCCGUAGCCGCUACUAUUUAGGUGCGCACAUGUUAAAACCCCCGCUCCUAUGCAAUAGCUCGCAAAUGGCAUAGGAGAGGUAAGCCCGGUGAGACAAGUUCGAUCCAGAAGGAAAAUCCCUUGCUUUCGCUGGCAAAGGGUUUCGAACUUGAGACCUCCAACAUGAAAAUCCCAAGCACAAACCACUUGACCACCCCGAAUAUUUUGAACUUGAGACCUCCAAUGUCAGCAUGUUUUAGGUAUUGCUGUUUGUUGGCACAACUGAUGCAGAACAUGCCCGUAGAUCUGUAGUGUAUGGUGUACAAUAUACUUUAUGAGGUUUCAUAACUCGUUUAGCUGGGGCAUGCUUGCUAUGUGUUGGUUUUUGCUAUGUCUUGUCUCUCUCUCUCUUUCUUUGUAUUAUUUCUUUCUCAACUUAUGGAGUUCAUUUGAUGUUUUGGUUGCUCUUUCAACAAUCAUGUCAGUGCUCAACUUAUGGGGUUCAUUUCUAGUUUUGGUUGCUCUUUUCUAUUCCAAACAAUCAUUGGACAUGUCAGUGUGUGUCACUUCUCUGUUUCAGUGCCCAACAUCUAAUAAAUUUGAUGACAUCAAACUAUGCUAAAUAUCCUAAUAUAUAUAGGUUUAAGUAUGGAGAGCCUCGAGUCACCGCCUUGCAUGUAAUAAUGCAAAACUGAGUGAUGCACUGCAAAGGAGAUGAAUCAUGGUCUUCUACACAUAUGUAUGUGGCCAUUAACUAAGCCUUCAGCCUAAAUCCUUUUAGUCUUCAAUCUCAAGUACUUAAAACAAUGAACUUUUCCUUCUUUUUGUUGCAGCAUAUGUUUGUGUUUUGUUGUUGUAUUUUUCUUUCACCCUGCUUCGGAAACUUCUUUGAGCUGUGGGUCUAUCAGAUACAACUUCUACCCCACAAAGUUAGGAGUAAGGUUCACAUACGUCCUACCCUCCCCAGACUCCACUUGUGGGAUUACACUAUGUAUGUUGUUGUUGUUGUUGUAUUGUGUGAUUUAUAGUGACUGAGAACGAUACAAUUGUUUGGAUAAAAAUAGUUGAUAGUUCCAAUUAUGAAGAGAUUGAUGUAGCAAUUAUACAUUGUUGCACUUUUUCCUAAGAUAAAAUGGUAAUCAAUGUCUAUGUGCUUUGUAUACUCAUGGACAUACAAUUUUAAACACGCAUUCAGUUCCUUGAACAAACCAGCUACCAUACAACUUAAGCAACAAGAAAACCUAAGCUUUAUACUUUGCUUAAGUCGAACUUCCAGAUAUAGUGGUUGUUUUCAUAGGCUUCUAAGACAUAACGGAAGAGCCAUAGAAAAUAAAAUGUCCUGACACUGACCUUCUAGUAUAGGGACAAGAUGACCAAUCAACAUCACAAUAAGCUACCAAACUGAAACAAUCAAUAGCAGACAAGAACUCAGCUAGACUAGGUGCUUGUUUGAUAUACUUCACUGCUCAAAUGGUUGCAUCCAUGUGAUAAGCCCUGCAUAGACAUUGAACCAAAAAAACUACAUAUGGUCUUGUGUUUGUCAAAUAUAGGAGCCUUUCAAUGAGUUUCUGAAAACUAGUAGGAUCGGUCAAGAGUUGAUCAUUAGUGUCUCCCAAAAGCUGAUCAAAACAACAAUAAUGAGGUUAGAAUUCCAUUCCAUCGGUGAACCAACAUGCUUGUCACCUAAGAGGCCCAUAUAAGCUAUCAACCCUAGGGAAAAGCACUCUUAUUCUUGGCAAACUCGAACCUUAAAAAAUAUCUCAAUUCACCCUUCUUUAAUCGUGUAAUACUUCUGGCAUAUAUCUUUGUGUCCUAUUGUAUGAAUCCUGCAUCAUUCAUGUUAAUGAGAAAAUCAUCUACAUAGAUGAGAACAACACCAAUCUUCCUUUUUUUUGGCGAAGUGGUAAAAGUUAUGAUGACUUCGAGAGAACCAGAAGGGCCUAAAACAAUGGUCAACUUUAUGUUUCAUUGUCUAGACUUCUGUUUAAGUGCAUAAAGUGACUUAAGAAGCAUGCAACAUUUUUAUACGCACAAAGAGAAUUGGAUCACCCUAUGGAGAGAUGUUGGGUUUGAUGAAACCUUUAUCUAAAAGGUCCUUUAAAUCAUCUUUUAACUCCUUAAACUUAGCUGGAGUCAUUUUGUAAAUAACAAGUUAGCGAUAUGCUGGGUCUCUGGAAGAAGGUGGGCCAUUCUCUUAAAAAACAGAUGAAAAUAGGCUAGGUAUCUGGAAGAAGGUCUAUUCUAAAGUCAAUCUCUCUUUCGAGACUCGGGAAAGAUAUCUGGAAAACACUUCUGGAAAUUCAUUCACUACAGAAAGUGAUAGAAGAGCUGGAGCUUCGAAAUGGGAUCCUUAACUUGAACUAGAUGGUAAAUGCAACCCUUAGAAAUCAUCGUUCUUGCCUUUAAGCAAGCGAUAAAGUGACUUAUAUGUAUUGAGGUACUACCAUUCUAUUCAAUGGCUGGUUCAUUCAGAAAUUGAAAUUUGACGACUCUAAUAAUACAGUCGAUUGAGGCAUAACAAGCGUGUAACUAGUCCAUGUCAAGGAUGAUAUCAAAAUCUAUCACGUCUAACUCUACUAGUUCAAUUGAGGUGAAUUUCUGAAAAAUGGAGAUCAAACAAUUUUUUAUACUCGUUUAGUUAGAACUCAUUCAUCAACGGAAGUAGAGACUGAUAAGGUAACUAUUAGGAUUUCGAGACUGCCAUUUAAUUGCAACAUAAGGAGUCACAAAAGAAAGUAUGGCUCCUUAAUCUAACAAGGCAUAAACAUCAAACUAAUGGACACGUAACAUACUAAUGACUACAUUAGGGGAACACUCUUGAUUUUGUCAAAUCUGAAGAGCAUAAAAUCUAUUUUUAUGUUGUCUGCCACCACUGCUAGGUGAGGUACCCUACUGAGUGGGGCGACCUGUUGGAGUUGUUGAAGUAUUCAAUUGAGUUUGCUGACGAACAUCCCUGUCUUUGCCUAUGGACGAUGGUCAAUCCCUCAAUUUGUGACAUUUCUUAUCACAUCCAAAACCCACACCCAACAGAGUUUAGCGCGAAAGUUAGAUCACAACUAUCUUUGAUGAAAAAAGCCUCAAGUUUAGGUAUAAAGAACAACCCAUGUCAGAGAGAUGACUUCUAUUGAACUUUUCCAUUAUAUGAAGGGAAUGAAUGCCUUAAUGGAAUGGAAUCUGGGAUCCAAGUAGAUUAGGUUAAUGCAAGUAUAAGUUCAACCCUUUUCUCAUCGGGCCGAGAUCAAUAGCCGUUCGACCUGAGGAAAGUGCAAGCAGAUUUAGAAUCCCGAACGUCUUGGUCUUUACCUUUGCUUCGAGUGACAAACACCAUAUCUAAGUAAGUGACAUGUCAUACAUUCUUUUAUGGUUCUUACCACACUUCUAGAAAGUGGGGAAAAUGCUUCCACUUAAAAUGUUGCCUUUUGACUUAGAGCCUGACAUCCUAUCGUUGUUAAACAUAGGCACUGGAGUACUAGUACUAGAUGAGGCUGGGCUUGAGUACUUAUGAUGAAACUGAGAUCAACUACCACCUCCUGAUUUUUUACAAGAGUAGAUCACACUGUCUAAUCUUUCCCUCUCGUUAUCCCUCACACUCUCCAUAAGUUUUUCCUUCUCGAUCCAUUGAGAAUGAGUCAUCAACCUAGAGAUAUCUAUCUCCUUAAUUAAUAUCUCAGUCUUACACUCCUUUAAAACCAUUUUAGAAACAUCAAAGACAGACUUACUCAAGUGGACCUUAGAGUCAUCCACCAUUGUUAGAGCUUACUUAGAGAGUUGAGUAAACUUCAAAGAGUACCUUUUGUCAUAUUACCUUGCCUUAGAUUUAUGAACUCUUGGACCUUAGUCUCUCAUUUCAAGCGGAAAGAAAAAUGUCCACGAAAACAAUUUUAAACUUUUCCUAGUCCAAUGGGCCUGCAUCAACAACCCUUUUCUCCUUCCAUUGCUUAAACUAAAUUUGAGCCACUCCCUUCACCUGACAAGCGUCCAAAUCGACACUCUCGACCAAAGUGACACCCAUAAUCUUAUUAAUCUUCUAUACAUCCUCAAUGAACUCUAGUGGAUCCUCUCCCACCUUAAUACAAUGAAAGUCUAAGGGUUCAUCUAAGUAAAUCCCUAGACUCUAGUUGUAGUCGUAUAAAUAUUGUGGUUUACUGGAGCCACAAUUUUUUGGUGGUCCUGAGCAAGGGCGGCGUCACCUUGGUACAAGGGGCAUCGGAUCCUCCGACAGAAAAUUAUACUGUUUAUACAUGGUUAAAAUAAUAUUUUAUGUAUAUAUAGUACAUAUCAAACCCUUCGUCUACUCUGUGUGUCUAAUUCUAUGAAUUUUGAACCCCCUUAUUGAAAAUUCUGGCUCCGACACUGGUCCUGAGCAGUAAUAACUUAGGAUAGCACUUGAAAAGUAGCUCUAAGCUCAACAUUAAUGACUUGUUUAGCCAAAGGGUCUGUGGGAGUUGGAGGUGCUUGAUGCUUUCUUCUUCAUGUUUCUUUUGACAUAAGCUCUUUCGGGAGGCAUGUGGCUGUAAACGUGUAAAUCACGAAUUAGAAUGAGACUUAGAGUUUCACUCUAUCGUAUGAUUAAAAGUAUUUAAGUGCUACAAAACUUUUUUAGCCUCAUAUUUAUAGAUGUGACAUGCUUCUUACCCAUGGGUAAAACUCUAUUUAACAUAACUUUUAGACAACCCAAGAGAGUCGAACCUAAUGCUCUUAUAUCAAGUUUGUUAUGUCUCGAGACAAUCUCCUAGGCACGACAUAGUGCCUAGAGCCUUAAGUGAUCCCAAGAUAACCUCAUGACAUGCCAUGACACCAAAAUUCGCAUAAUAAGACGGGAAAAAUAAUGAAUGCGCAAGUAAAGUCUAAAAGAAAUAUAUUUGUUCAAAUAGACGACAUUUGAUACCAUAAGCUGAAUAUGAACUAAUUUUAUGGAAAAACUCUACUAGAUGAGUCACUAGGACAAAUGCCUAGCUAACUCUAAUACAUGAAAUUUAGAAAAAGUACAGAAAGAAAGAUAAACGUCAUUUGUCACUUCUCGAGGCUACCACCUAGACAUAAUACAGGACCCCCAAACUAAUCCCGAGUCUAAUAACUAAUAAAUACUAAGUAGCUCAUAAAUCAUGAUAACUGAAGCUAAUAUGAGAGAUACUUUAUCUGAAAGUAUCUAAAUCAUGAUAGUCUUGGAGAUGUACUUGAAAUAGCAUAAUUCUAAAUCGCAAAAAUACUUGUAUCCUAUGGGUUCAUGAAAAUACCAUUGAAAUAUAGAAUUACACUUAGAAUCAUGAAAUUGAAGGCUAAUCAUGAAGAAUAAAUGAAAUUCAUCAAGAAUCCAAUGAUGAUCAUAGGAAUCAUAAACUUGAAGAAAAAGGGGGGGGGGGGGGUCUUUUUGGUACUCAAUGGGUGAAGGGAUACUCAUUGAUUAAUCCCAUGGACUUGGAGUAGAAA